GGCCUAAUACAUGCAAGUCGAACGAACUCUGGUAUUGAUUGGUGCUUGCAUCAUGAUUUACAUUUGAGUGAGUGGCGAACUGGUGAGUAACACGUGGGAAACCUGCCCAGAAGCGGGGGAUAACACCUGGAAACAGAUGCUAAUACCGCAUAACAACUUGGACCGCAUGGUCCGAGCUUGAAAGAUGGCUUCGGCUAUCACUUUUGGAUGGUCCCGCGGCGUAUUAGCUAGAUGGUGGGGUAACGGCUCACCAUGGCAAUGAUACGUAGCCGACCUGAGAGGGUAAUCGGCCACAUUGGGACUGAGACACGGCCCAAACUCCUACGGGAGGCAGCAGUAGGGAAUCUUCCACAAUGGACGAAAGUCUGAUGGAGCAACGCCGCGUGAGUGAAGAAGGGUUUCGGCUCGUAAAACUCUGUUGUUAAAGAAGAACAUAUCUGAGAGUAACUGUUCAGGUAUUGACGGUAUUUAACCAGAAAGCCACGGCUAACUACGUGCCAGCAGCCGCGGUAAUACGUAGGUGGCAAGCGUUGUCCGGAUUUAUUGGGCGUAAAGCGAGCGCAGGCGGUUUUUUAAGUCUGAUGUGAAAGCCUUCGGCUCAACCGAAGAAGUGCAUCGGAAACUGGGAAACUUGAGUGCAGAAGAGGACAGUGGAACUCCAUGUGUAGCGGUGAAAUGCGUAGAUAUAUGGAAGAACACCAGUGGCGAAGGCGGCUGUCUGGUCUGUAACUGACGCUGAGGCUCGAAAGUAUGGGUAGCAAACAGGAUUAGAUACCCUGGUAGUCCAUACCGUAAACGAUGAAUGCUAAGUGUUGGAGGGUUUCCGCCCUUCAGUGCUGCAGCUAACGCAUUAAGCAUUCCGCCUGGGGAGUACGGCCGCAAGGCUGAAACUCAAAGGAAUUGACGGGGGCCCGCACAAGCGGUGGAGCAUGUGGUUUAAUUCGAAGCUACGCGAAGAACCUUACCAGGUCUUGACAUACUAUGCAAAUCUAAGAGAUUAGACGUUCCCUUCGGGGACAUGGAUACAGGUGGUGCAUGGUUGUCGUCAGCUCGUGUCGUGAGAUGUUGGGUUAAGUCCCGCAACGAGCGCAACCCUUAUUAUCAGUUGCCAGCAUUAAGUUGGGCACUCUGGUGAGACUGCCGGUGACAAACCGGAGGAAGGUGGGGAUGACGUCAAAUCAUCAUGCCCCUUAUGACCUGGGCUACACACGUGCUACAAUGGAUGGUACAACGAGUUGCGAACUCGCGAGAGUAAGCUAAUCUCUUAAAGCCAUUCUCAGUUCGGAUUGUAGGCUGCAACUCGCCUACAUGAAGUCGGAAUCGCUAGUAAUCGCGGAUCAGCAUGCCGCGGUGAAUACGUUCCCGGGCCUUGUACACACCGCCCGUCACACCAUGAGAGUUUGUAACACCCAAAGUCGGUGGGGUAACCUUUUUAGGAACCAGCCCGCCCCUA
rnacentral:rRNA from 1 species